rnacentral:lncRNA from 1 species
CUCAACCUGAUAGCAUAUGAGAUGUGUCCAGAUUUUGAGAACGAUUACGAAAUUUGUUCUUUUCUAGCUUUCAUGGACUCGCUCAUCGACCAUCCUGAAGACGUGAAGGAAUUGAGAUCAAAUGGGAUUUUGCUCAAUAAACUUGGGAGUGAUGAGGAAGUUGCCCAUCUUUUCAAUAUCAUAAGUACUGACUUGGUACGAAACACAUACAUAUACCAUGACGUUAAAUGGAAAAUAAAUGAUCAUUACUGUAAUAAAUACAAGACUUGGAUAGCGCAGGGUUUUCACACUUACUUCAACAGUCCUUGGGCCAUUAUUGCAUUCAUUGCUGCGGUUGUCGUCCUUGUUCUUACUUUCAUUCAGACAUGGUUUACAAUUCACCCGACUAGCAAAU